CUCCAGACAUCCAAUCAGAACAUUCAAGGGAUGGUGAUAUGGAUGAUAGUCGAGAAGGAGAACUUAUGGAUUGUGAUGGAAAAUCAGAAUCUAGUCCUGAGCGGGAAGCUGUGGAUGAUGAAACUAAGGGAGUGGAAGGAACAGAUGGUGUCAAAAAGAGAAAAAGGAAACCAUACAGACCAGGUAUUGGUGGAUUUAUGGUGCGGCAAAGAAGU